UCAAGUGUGUAUUCAUGUUAGGAAAAAAAAACCGCCCAAGUCUUUCUCUCUCUCUUAAUCGUAUUCUACCCUUCUCUCAACCCUAACCCCCCACCACUCUAUCAAUUGUCAGCUCUAAAGUUCUAGAUCUACUACCACACUCGAAGAUUUUGCCUCAAUUUCAAGAAAUACAACAAGCUGCCCGACCUUGGCUCCGUCAAUGCUAUCCGUGAUUCGGAGACGACACUUCUGUAGGUGUUAUCCAUGAUUUGGAGACGGCGUGUGAGAACUUCUUUGACAUACAGAGGCCCUUGUCGUGGUUGAAUAACUCAACCUUCACUACUAGAAAAUAACCUAUUUGUAGACGCUGUGACCUCGACGCUAAGAGGAUGGCGUUGGGGCGGAAAAUAUUUUCCGUGCUAUUUCUCGACGCCUUCUGUUGACGAAACUUCUGGUGACCACUUUUGGCGUCGAAAGUACACGUGCCUUGCACAUGUUAACUUAAUUGGACGCGCAAUUAAUAUUUCCUGAAAAUUAGAAUUUUGCGCUUCCCAAAAUAUUUAGCGCUAAAACAACAAAUUUCCUUAACCGUUCCAUCGCGCAUAUCACUCUCGUUCAAACCCUAAUAAGCAAAAACUCCCAAAAGAACAACUCCUCUGCGAAUCUGAAACUCUCAAUUGUGUAUUUGCCAUUGAUAUUCGGGUUUUGUCUAUGUUCUUCUAAUUAUCUGCUGUGAAUUUCCUCUUAUUCUUUUUCUUGAUCUGAUAUUUUGUUUCUUCAUCUUCUCCCUUUCGUCAUCCUAACGAGUCAGUGGCAAAAAACGACUCAAUUUCACUUCAUGUGCUGGAAUUUCGAAGGGGUAUACUGCUCAAUUUAUGCUGAAACUUCCGAGGUAUUGUUGCACAGGAGCGCCCUCUGAAUGAAUCCUUGUCAACAUAUCCAGAAUAUUUGAGAAACAAAAAAUGGUUGUCCCCGAGGUUGAUCAAAAUCUGGUUCAGGAACUUAAAGGAAUAGGAUUCUCCACAGCACGGGCUACCCGAGCACUUCAUUGCUCAGGCCCUAGGAUAUAUUCAAGCAUAUAGGCAUUCAAAUACAUGAUGCUGGACUUGGUUGUUGCUGUAAUUUACGGAAAUUGACAGGAGAGAAAUGGAUGACUGCCAUAAAGCUAAGGUUGCUAGAAAGGACAUCGAGUUGGGAUCCUAUAUUGAUUCGACGCCCGUUGUUCCAUCAUGAUUGUAUUUUUUUUAGAUAUUUUCUUUUGCUAAGUAUUAGGUUUUAUACGUGAGGGAUUUUUUAUGUAUGUAUACCUUGUAAUCGAUAUUUGUAUAUUCUUAUUUUUGGAAAUAAAACAUGUUCCUGUUAAA